CAAUUCACAAUGCAACCAGUUUUCAGUUGUUUCGCAGGAGAGGGAGAUUAACUAAGUCAAUGAAAAUUUGUUUUCACCAUAAAACAUUAAAAAAAAACCUGAAAAACUAAAAAAUCAACCACUAAUUGCAACGGAAUAGUGCUUCGAAUUUGUUAACGAAAUAAUUUCAGAUUCAAAAUGUCUAUUCCUAAUGUUGCUGGCCAACUGGAAGCUCCGUUAUCUGCCCCGAAAUAUGGAACCCUCAUACCAAAUAGGAUUUUUGUAGGUGGUAUCAGCGGCGACACAACGGAAUCAGAACUCUGUCGCGUAUUUUCAGCAUAUGGCAAUGUAAAAUCGACGAAAAUCAUUGUGGAUCGGGCUGGUGUUAGCAAGGGUUACGGAUUUGUGACCUUUGAAACGGAACAGGAAGCACAACGGCUGCAGAGUGAGGGUGAAUGCGUCGUUUUGCGUGAUCGAAAGCUGAAUAUCGCACCGGCCAUUAAAAAACAGGCGGUAUGUCCAACUAACAGCGCUGUAUAUUAUGCGUCCACUCCACAAACUCCAAUGAGCAAUAUUCCAAUUGAUCAGUUUGCAGCCGUUUAUCCACCAGUUUUUAAAGGUGUGCCAACAAUAUACCCACCUACUAUGCCGUAUCAGCCAUACUAUCAAUAUUACAGUGUGCCAAUGAAUGUACCCACCAUCUGGCCUCAAAAUUAUCAAGUUUAGACGAAAAUGCCUCUAACGCUAUAUAAACUGCUGUAGGAAUUUACGGUAAAGUCUUAAGAUAAACUAACUGAUUAGGACAAGAUAAAACAAACACAAAUUUUUGGAAUUUACCCAUGUUAGAUCAACAAAAUAUAAACAAACAAAAACAAAAACUUCUAUUCAAUUAAAAUGAUAAAUAAAAAAAAUUAUUAAAGCAAACGAGGCUUACACCAAAGAGUGUAAUUGGUUUUUGUUCAUUACGAAGCAGAACUUAAUUUUUAAAUUAUUUAAAUUAAAAAACACAAUUAAAAAAUAUGUAAAACAAAACUAAUGGAUAGGAAAAAAUUAAAUAUUUAUCACACAACGUAAAAGAAACACGAGGAAAACACAAUUAUUCGUACUCAUAGCGUGCAUAAAUUAGUAUAAUUAACAGCAAAAAAUGAAAACGCGAACAAAUUUGUGGUUAAAAUUAACAAUUUUUUUAACUAUGACAACAAGAAGACCGGUUCUGUAUCAUUUAUUUUAUUUUAUUCAGAUUGAUUGCAACUAUUUUACUUGUACGAUUCAAACUAUAUUAUACAGAAAUGUAACGAAAAUAAUCAAAUAGACUAAUUUAUAUAAUUAGAAAAAAAUGAAAGAUGACUUAAAUGAGAAACGAUAUUAAAUAGUGGGGCUACUAAUUAAAAUUUCCCAAUUUAAAAGAAGAAGAAAAAGAAAUGGGAAAGUGAGAAAAAAACGGCGAUAAUGUAGCGAAGAAUUUUAUUCGUAAAGUUUCAUUUGUUUGUAACAAAUUAGUGACCAUUUUUUAUGUACUUAUUCCAAUUUUUUUUUAAUUACCAAAAAUUGAAUCAUUUUUUUUAAUUUAUUAGGAAAACCAUUUUAUAUACUCUGUUAUUACUGUAAUUCGUUGUUAUAAAAUUGAGAAAAAAAAUCAUCUUUCAAAACGAUAAAUACACACGAAUGAAAAAACACAAUUUAUUGACUUUCUUGUCAACAGAGCCUCAACUAAAAUGUGACAUUUAAUAAGAU